rnacentral:tRNA from 1 species
GGGGCGAUAGCAUAAUGGCUAAUGCGGUGACCUGAAAAUUCUCUCAUAAGGGUUCGAUUCCCUUUCGCUCCACUA